GGAGGGUUCGCAUAGUGGCCGAGUGCGACGGUCUUGAAAACCGUUAGGUCCUUACGGGGCCUCGUGGGUUCAAAUCCCACACCCUCCGCCG
rnacentral:tRNA from 1 species